rnacentral:rRNA from 1 species
CGGGACAAGGACUAUCAGGAUUCCCCUAGUAACUGCGAGUGAAGCGGGAAAAGCUCAAAUUUAAAAUCUGGCGGUCCUUGUGGCCGUCCGAGUUGUAAUCUAGAGAAGUGUUAUCCGCGCCGGACCGUGUACAAGUCUCCUGGAACGGAGCGUCAUAGAGGGUGAGAAUCCCGUCUUUGACACGGACUACCGGGGCUUUGUGAUACGCUCUCAAAGAGUCGAGUUGUUUGGGAAUGCAGCUCUAAAUGGGUGGUAAAUUCCAUCUAAAGCUAAAUAUUGGCGAGAGACCGAUAGCGAACAAGUACCGUGAGGGAAAGAUGAAAAGAACUUUGGAAAGAGAGUUAAACAGUACGUGAAAUUGUUGAAAGGGAAACGCUUGAAGUCAGUCGCGUUGGCCGGGGAUCAACCUUGCUCUUUUGCUUGGCGUACUUUCCGGUUAACGGGUCAGCAUCAAUUUUGACCGGUGGAUAAAGGUCAGGGGAAUGUGGCAUCUUCGGAUGUGUUAUAGCCCUUGGUUGCAUACAUCGAUUGGGAUUGAGGAACUCAGCACGCCGCAAGGCCGGGUCUUUGACCACGUACGUGCUUAGGAUGCUGGCAUAAUGGCUUUAAUCGACCCGUCUUGAAAAGG